CCCUUAGAUGUUCUGGGCCGCACGCGCGCUACACUGAUGCAUUCAACGAGUUUCUUCCUGGUCCGAGAGGAAUGGGUAACCUUUUGAAAGUGCAUCGUGAUAGGGAUAGACUAUUGCAAUUAUUGGUCUUCAACGAGGAAUUCCUAGUAGACGUAGUUCAUCAGACUGCAUCGAUUACGUCCCUGCCCUUUGUACACACCGCCCGUCGCUCCUACCGAUUGAAUGCUCAGGUGAGCCAUUCGGACUGCGCGGUCUGCAGUUUCUGCGUUCCGUGCGGAAAGUUGCGCAAACCUUAACAUUUAGAGGAAGGAGAAGUCGUAACA
rnacentral:rRNA from 1 species